UGGCUCUGGUCUGGGGGUCUCACUUCUGGCAGUCAAGGUGAGUUUGAUAUUAGGGUUUCUGCAACUGUACAACAAUGGGGAAGGGAACGGAAAGCUUUGGAAAGAGGAAAAACAAGACCCACACUCUGUGUGUGAGGUGUGGUCGUCGUAGCUUCUAUCUCCAGAAAAGCCGCUGCUCGGCUUGUGCUUACCCAGCCAGCCUCAAGAGGACAUAUAACUGGAGCGUGAAGGCGAUCCGUA